AAUCUUUUCUUCACUAAUACUUCCAUCAACUUCCAAAGAAAGCCUUAAGGCUUCAAAUGACGCAGUUUUGAUCGCGCCGUGAAUUUGAAGGCAUUUCUUAAAUCACCUUCAACUGACCUUUAAAGAUGGCUUUU
rnacentral:lncRNA from 1 species